rnacentral:rRNA from 1 species
UGGGGAAUAUUGGACAAUGGGCGCAAGCCUGAUCCAGCCAUGCCGCGUGAGUGAUGAAGGCCCUAGGGUUGUAAAGCUCUUUCACCGGUGAAGAUAAUGACGGUAACCGGAGAAGAAGCCCCGGCUAACUUCGUGCCAGCAGCCGCGGUAAUACGAAGGGGGCUAGCGUUGUUCGGAUUUACUGGGCGUAAAGCGCACGUAGGCGGACCAUUAAGUCAGGGGUGAAAUCCCGGGGCUCAACCCCGGAACUGCCUUUGAUACUGGUAGUCUUGAGUUCGAGAGAGGUGAGUGGAAUUCCGAGUGUAGAGGUGAAAUUCGUAGAUAUUCGGGGGAACACCAGUGGCGAAGGCGGCUCACUGGCUCGAUACUGACGCUGAGGUGCGAAAGCGUGGGGAGCAAACAGG